rnacentral:rRNA from 1 species
AACGAACGCUGGCGGCAUGCCUAACACAUGCAAGUCGAACGAGACCUUCGGGUCUAGUGGCGCACGGGUGCGUAACGCGUGGGAAUCUGCCCUUGGGUUCGGAAUAACAGUGAGAAAUUACUGCUAAUACCGGAUGAUGUCUUCGGACCAAAGAUUUUAUCGCCCAGGGAUGAGCCCGCGUAGGAUUAGCUAGUUGGUGGGGUAAUGGCCUACCAAGGCGACGAUCCUUAGCUGGUCUGAGAGGAUGAUCAGCCACACUGGGACUGAGACACGGCCCAGACUCCUACGGGAGGCAGCAGUGGGGAAUAUUGGACAAUGGGCGCAAGCCUGAUCCAGCAAUGCCGCGUGAGUGAUGAAGGCCUUAGGGUUGUAAAGCUCUUUUACCCGGGAUGAUAAUGACAGUACCGGGAGAAUAAGCUCCGGCUAACUCCGUG